rnacentral:ncRNA from 1 species
AAGACACCCAAUGAAACUCCUCCGUGUCCUCGAAGGGAGUCAGCCCCCGUAGACGGCACGGGGAG